rnacentral:SRP_RNA from 1 species
GCCAGGUGCGGUGGCCUGUGCCUGUAGUCCCAGCGACUCGGGAGGCUGAGGUGGGAUGAUUGCUUGAACCCAGGAGUUCUGGGCUGUAGUGCGCUGUGCUGAUCGGAUGUCCACACUAAGUUUGACAUCAAUAUGGUGACCUCCUGAGAGUGGGGGACCACCAGGUUGCCUAAGGAGGAGUGAACUGUUCCAGGUCGGAAACAGAGCAGGUCAAAACUCUCAUGCUGAUCAGUGGUGGGAUCGCACCUGUGAAUAGCCACUGCACUCUAGCCUGGGCAACAUAGCGAGACCUUGUCUCU